rnacentral:rRNA from 1 species
UUUGAUCCUGGCUCAGGAUGAACGCUGGCGGCGCGCCUAACACAUGCAAGUCGAACGGCACCCAUCUUCGGAUGGAAGCGAGUGGCGAACGGCUGAGUAACACGUGGAGAACCUGCCCCCUUCCCCGGGAUAGCCGCCCGAAAGGACGGGUAAUACCGGAUACCCCGGGGUGCCGCAUGGCACCCCGGCUAAAGCCCCGACGGGAGGGGAUGGCUCCGCGGCCCAUCAGGUAGACGGCGGGGUGACGGCCCACCGUGCCGACAACGGGUAGCCGGGUUGAGAGACCGACCGGCCAGAUUGGGACUGAGACACGGCCCAGACUCCUACGGGAGGCAGCAGAGGGGAAUCUUGCGCAAUGGGGGGAACCCUGACGCAGCGACGCCGCGUGCGGGACGGAGGCCUUCGGGUCGUAAACCGCUUUCAGCAGGGAAGGGUCAAGACUGUACCUGCAGAAGAAGCCCCGGCUAACUACGUGCCAGCAGCCGCGGUAAUACGUAGGGGGCGAGCGUUAUCCGGAUUCAUUGGGCGUAAAGCGCGCGUAGGCGGCCCGGCAGGCCGGGGGUCGAAGCGGGGGGCUCAACCCCCCGAAGCCCCCGGAACCUCCGCGGCUUGGGUCCGGUAGGGGAGGGUGGAACACCCGGUGUAGCGGUGGAAUGCGCAGAUAUCGGGUGGAACACCGGUGGCGAAGGCGGCCCUCUGGGCCGAGACCGACGCUGAGGCGCGAAAGCUGGGGGAGCGAACAGGAUUAGAUACCCUGGUAGUCCCAGCCGUAAACGAUGGACGCUAGGUGUGGGGGGACGAUCCCCCCGUGCCGCAGCCAACGCAUUAAGCGUCCCGCCUGGGGAGUACGGCCGCAAGGCUAAAACUCAAAGGAAUUGACGG